AGCAAGUCUUUUCACAGUUGACAUGACAAGUAGUAAGUCCUUUCCUUUCACCUAAAGAAAACAAAAGAAAAAAGACAGUACUCUCUGUGGCCAUACAUGGGCGUUGUUUCAAGAUGAAGAGGGAAACUUUGAGUAGCAGAGAGGCCAGCAGUGAUCGUAAACUAUUUUUUCAGACUUUAACCAUCUAUUAUUAACAACUUUUUUCAGUUUCCAUCACUGCCCGUAGGUAGGAAGAUCCAAAAUCACAUAAGGGUCUGACAAGUAUGAAUCUCACUCUCGUGACUAAAAUGAGAUAAAGGUAUGACAGGUUCGAAUCUCUUUAGUUCUGUAUCCCAGAUUUUGUUUUUGUCUCUGUAUUAAACCCGGACUUCAAAUCUUCUUGAAUCAAAUUUCAAUUUUCGUCCUUCUAUUUCUAAGCCAAGCUCUAUAUAUCAUAUCUCCGUUCUUGCGUUAACUCACUCCCCCAGCACCAGUCCCACUAUUUUAGCAGAUCAAAUUUGGUGUGGAAUUCUUCUACAUCAUAUCUUCUUUCUUUCUCUUUACUCGAAGAAUUUGAAGCAUACAAAUACCCCGUUAUGGAGAGAUGGCAUUUGUAUGGACACAGUGCCAUCGUAUAUAAUCUUGGGAUGGGCGGUGUGGGUAAGAAGUUAUCAACCGGGGCCCGGUGGAUUACACAGCUCUUUACAAUGAGGUCAUGGCUAUGAUGACGGAUGGGUAUAGUGAAGACAUGCUCGCAACUGCGUUUGACCAUCUUUGUGAAAAUGAGAAGGCAGCACUGGGAUUUCUAGCCAAGAAUGUUAGGCUGAGAAAGCUGUGGUUGGAUGGUUUUUUGUUCUCACAACUUUGACUUGUCUGUUUCAUGUUGACUAUGACGGUAGCUUUAGGAAUUAACUUUUGUUGUAGUACUAGUAUUGACCUACCAUUGUAUUAUAUAUGUAGUGUUUUAUAUUAUUGGGACGAUACAAUUGCCCAAAUUAUGUAUUUGUACUAUUCAGAUACCACGAGUAGGUAUCAUUUUUGUACACCAUGGAGGUGUAAUGCUAAUGGUGAAUGAUUGAUGUGGCUGUUUUUAUAUAAAUAUUAUGGGUAUAUUCAAAUGAUUA